rnacentral:rRNA from 1 species
UUGGUUUUGUAAUUGGAAUGAGUUAAGUAUAAACCCCUUUACAAGUAUCAAUUGGAGGGCAAGUCUGGUGCCAGCAGCCGCGGUAAUUCCAGCUCCAAUAGCGUAUAUUAAAGUUGUUGCAGUUAAAAAGCUCGUAGUUGGAUUUCUGUUAAUAAUUUAUAUAAAAUAUUUUGAUGAAUAUUUAUAUAAUAUUAACAUAAUUCAUAUUACUAUUUUUUUUUUUAUAUUAAAAAUUUUUUUUUGAAAAAAAUAAAGCUUAUAAAAGGCAUAUUCCUCCUUUACUCCCCCAUGGGGUAAUAUUAAAAAAAUUUUUUUUUUUUUUUGUUUCUUUUAAAAAAAAAAUGAUUAAUA